UUGUUAUUAAGUCAACAUAUUUUCUUGAAAAUUCUUUUCUUUUCAAGUUACAUACAUGGUUUUUCGUUGUGACCAUGCCGAAAGUUUUCUUGUCGAUACAUAUAUUUAUUGUCGGAUUGCACUAAAACCCAGUUCAAUUGUUUGAACUUGUCCAUUACACAUAUUCACUUCAGAGAAUCAUAUAAUGUAUUGGAAGCAUCAUAUUCAAAAUUCGUUUUAACAAGUGUUUCAUUUGUUCCGAGUCGAAGUAAACUUGUUUGGCAUUCGACUCCAUUAAACUGUUGGUUAAUUUCGACACCUUGUGCUAGUAUUUUCACUUGUUUGAAGCUUGCGCUAAACUCGUUUACACAUCUUAUGCACGGAUUUAAUUAAUUAUUUAUUGAUUUGCUUUAAAUCCGCUUCGAUUUAUCAUAUUUAAGCGGUCUUAACACAAUUGUGUGUUAUGACGAUGGUACACAAAUUCAUUGCAUAUUCCGGUGUACCUACUAACAGUUCUUGCAUUAUCGAUCGAAUGUUUUGCGAUAUUCAUUGCUUCUUCAUCUUCGAUCAAAAACAUUAUUUCUUUGAUGUUCCAUUUUCAACUGAAACUCCUAUGAUGUCAUUUGAAACAAACUUUUAGGUUCACUUUAUUACACUUUCAUUUGAUUUCAAACACGGUGAAUUUGUUUGAUCACCGCUAUUAUUGAAUUAUUUAAGUCACUACAACACCUUGUGGUGUCAGUACAAACUUGUAGCUUGGCCUAAUCAUGAUUGAGCGUUUCAUGCAAAACACAUGUGAUACUUGUUCGAUCACCGCUAUACUGAAAUCGUUUCAUUCUCUACGACACCUUGUGGCGUCGGUAUAAGUUGCAGCUUGCGCUGAUCACGACCGAGCGUUUCAUACAAACUAUUACAUUAGAGAUUGUUGAUUCUAAGUUCAUCCAGUGGAUGUUAUUGCUUCUAGAACUCAUUUACAUGUUGUAAACGUUCAUAUGGAAUUCAAUUGGUCGAAGUUCCUGUUCUUUGUUGCACCCCUGUUAACUUAGUCACAUUAGUGACAAUACCUAUACGUCAUGUUUCCUUUUACAUCAAUUUCUGAAACAUAUUCCUGUUAACCGUUGGGUUCUUAUUGUUGAGGUAUGUCCUUGAAUUCACAUAACUCGAAUGAGUCUUGAUUUGGUUUCGCGGUUAUCCACUUUGAUAUUAUUCUACGUAUAACGUAACUCUAAGGAGUUAACGUAGUCUAAAUUUCGAGGACGAAAUUUCUGUAACAUGGGGAGAAUGUGACAACCGGUACUUUUCGGCUUCUAAUUACGCGAUUGACAAACGUUUAAGGCGAUAAUAAGUAGUUUUUAAGGCACAAAUUAACUUAAUUAGGCUUUUGAAAUGCCUAGGAAUGCCUAUCUGACUUUACAGUGCGCGUACGGUGAUUUUCGGGAAACUUGCUGAGCGUUAAACGAUAACGAACUGACACCGUACAAAUUACUGACAACGCCUUCAAUUACAAAGUUUGUACAUAUAAGUUAUACAUAUAAUGUGAUUUUUGCAAAAAUAUCAUGCUUUUUAACGACACAAAACGCAAAUGUGAAAUAGUAUUGCUUUCAAAAAAUGAAAUAGUAUGACAUAUUUAGCUCCGUAAUCAAAUUUUAAUAUUCGCAGUCGAAAUCGGAUCGAAAAACGGAUUGGAAACGACCUCCGGAGCAAAUUUCGUGAUUUAACGCAACCGAUGAACGAACGCGUCAACCGUCAACUUCCGACACUAUUUUACAUAUCCUUGAUCCUAAAAUGACAUUGUACGACAUUACACGACGUUCGGGUGCAAAAACAGGCUUUAGAAACGUGAUCGAGCUCUCAAAAACACUAGAAACGGGCUUGUGGGCCUUGGGCCCAAACCCACAAAACCCUAACUAUAUAAAGGUCUACACACACUCCAAACACCAUAACUACACACACAUUUCUCUCUCUAACCCUCACACUCUCUCCCUCUAGAAAAAGUCCGGCGAGAAUUCCGGCCGACUUCCGGCGACCAACGACUUUUCCGUCGGAGUUCCGGCGACCGACAAUUUUUCCGGCGACUUUUCCGGCGCCGUUUUCCGGCCAAGAGUACACUUUUUCGACUACAUUCGACGUUCCGAAUCGUGUGGUGAUGUUAGUUUUAGCUAAUUCUUAGCGGUUUGAGCUCUAUGGCAACUCCAGCGACCUUCCGGUCAAAUUCCGGCGAGUCCGUUUUGAACUUUUGACUUUGCGGAUGCUUAGAUCGGGACUUUAGGAGCAUUUCUGCACAUUUUCAAGAAAUUUUAUUCUCCGACGAAAUUCCGACUUCUGACAUGGUUCUGGCGAGGUUCCGGGCAUCCGUUUUCGACGAAAAAUAUAUUUUUGGGCUCCUAGUGAUCCGUAGAGUCCAUCGAACCACUUUCGUCUCGGGUGAAAAAUUAAAGUUCGGGACACUCUCGGGCUCGGUUCAACAUGGUCAACAGGUCAAACGUGGUCAAAACUGGUCAAGGGGAAGUUUUGGGUCAUUUUUAUUGCCUCGGUUCAGUUUUGGGUUCAGUCAAACCUGGUCAACACGGGUCAAACGUGGUCAAACCUGGUCAAACUUAGUCAAAGCUGGUCAAACUCAGUCAACUGCUGGUCAACGCAGUCAACUCAGUCAACACGAGGCUCGGAAUAUUGUAGAAUGCACGCUAGCGAGUCUCGUCUUGGAAACGACAUCACGAAGUCAUAAUUAGCUAGCUUCACACAAGACAAUUCAGGUCACAUUUUAGAAACUAUGGCACGGUUGGAAUAGGUGAACCAUUGGAGAAUCGAGUACUUAGCAGGCGUUCAAUUUAUAGAAGUCUUAGCUUAUUUUGCUUCCGCUGUGCAAUGAAGAUACCAGUCCAGUCACGCUAGCUCUGAUAAUUUCGGGGUGUGACAGAAAUGCGGUCAAUCUUUAUAUAUCUUUUGAAUGGAUUCGCAAAAACUAUAACUAAAUGAAUAAGCCUAAGAAAGAUCUCUUUACCUUCAAUCU